rnacentral:rRNA from 1 species
CAGUCGCCGCGGGAAUACGUAGGGUGCGAGCGUUAAUCGGAAUUACUGGGUGUAAAGCGUGCGCAGGCGGUUUUGUAAGACAGGCGUGAAAUCCCCGGGCUCAACCUGGGAAUGGCGCUUGUGACUGCAAAGCUAGAGUGCGGCAGAGGGGGAUGGAAUUCCGCGUGUAGCAGUGAAAUGCGUAGAUAUGCGGAGGAACACCGAUGGCAAAGGCAAUCCCCUGGGCCUGCACUGACGCUCAUGCACGAAAGCGUGGGGAGCAAACAGGAUUAGAUACCCGAGUAGUCCCUGUCUCUUAUAC